AGUAGAUUUGAGGAAGUGAUUUGGCCCGGUGGUUGAGAAACCAAACAACACCUCGGAUUGAGAGCGAGCCGUAAAAGAAAGGCCGGGAAUCAACGCGGCGUUAAGGCCUUUCCUCUGCGCUAGGUUGUGGGGGGAAAUCUGAGCCACAUAAACUUCAGACGUUUCAAGAAAGGCUGGUGCUGGAUGUUAAGAUGCAGCAUAAACCUCCCCAGAACACAGAAGGAAAACAGUCAUCAGGGCAUAACCAUGGUCACAAGUCCUUCAAACCACCAUUAACAAUGCAGGUCAAACCCGGGAAAGUCACUCCCUUCCCAAGUCAACCCACAGGAGAAAGCACAGCCACUCUUAGGCUGGCUUCCAGUAAUCACCAGGCCAGUUUUAAGCCCUAAGCCUGUCCCCAAAAGACACAUGUCUUGAUGGGGACUUAUGGGGGCAUUGUAAGUGUUUUAGCAAUGUACAACAUCACACACACACGCACGCACACGCACACACAAACGCGCACACACACACACACACACACACACACACACACACACACACACACACACACACAAACUCCGCCUGCAGCUCCGAUUUUUUCCCUCUCCAAAAGCUGAUCACAAUAACAGCCCUGAUCCCUCUGUGCUCCGUCCCAUGUUUUCCUAACCUCUGUCCGACCUUAACCGCCACAGCUGUCCACCAGAGACUUCCAACUCCCGCUGCACACUCUCCAACCUCUGGCCGGACCGAACUUCAAAGCCCCAUGAAAGGACCUUGGGCUUGACCCAAAAGGCCCCGCUUUACUGAGAACCAAAGGAAAACGUGGACGCUGUGUUCGCACGGACAUAAUGGCCGCUUUGAGACCAAAGAAAACCGCAGCAUCCGGGAAUUGUGUGCAAGGGGCCCAGACGAAAUGGGCAAACCUUUGCCUGCGGCCCGCCCAUUGCACCACCGCCUUAUAUUGGUCAACAAUACAACAUAAAAGUGGACAUCUUGGUAUCUGUAAAAUACGGACUGCAACAUCCCGUUCAUUUCAAGAUGAACCAGUUGUUCGAAGCAAGAGCCUCGGAGACUGCAAGGGAUUAAGCACAUUCGUAUGACAGCUCAAGCAGGCACCACAAGUAGCGUUGCCGCUGGCGUCGUUAAACCCCGCCGGCCCACACGUUGGCGGGCCGACAUACCCUGCGGAAGUAGCCGCGUUCCACAGCAGUUCUGAGAACUCUCUUGAGGUCGACUCGCCGACUUCUAGUCAGGCAUAAGUACGGGCGUCCCCGGUGUCCAAGGUGCAACCUGACAGCAGGAGUUAACAGCUGGGCUCGGCUCGCCCGUGAUGAACACAGAUGAGCAAGCUCGGGGUAUAUUUAACAGGCUUGCAUUCUUCCUUCACAUCCUUGAAGAAAGAAGGAUCCACAACAACGGCCAGAGCGCAUCCUCCUCAACCGGGGAUUAAUCUGUCGCGCACGCAGCACGGCUGACUCACAAAGAGAACCGUAAUAGCUUUUUAAUAAAACUGGGCCCCUCUCAAGCCCUGCGCGGGCGCACCCGCUCUCUGUUUGAGCCCUGGUUCGUAUAAAACGGAUAUAAAUAAAUUAAAACGUAGAUGUUGACAGAGUUGUACAGUUUGAUGCUCAUUGAAGAUAAUUGAGGAC
ensembl:lncRNA